ACUACAUUCGUUGAAAACUUGAUUAACUUGUACUCUGGCAGGGUACAAGGACAACUCGUUGAGUUUGCCCGAAGGAUGCACAAAGUUGCUACGCGUCGCUACGCGCCUCUGUGCGCCCUGGCUAAAUUCCACACGGCAAGAGGGCCGUCGUGUCAGAAAUCUGCCUUGAAAAACACUCCCGCGGACGUGCUGGAGAUGCCCCCGUGCAGCUUCACGCCACAAGAAUACAAGGGGAUGUCGAAAGAGCGCAUGAUGGAGAUCCGCCGGAGGAACUGCCACCCCAUGACCAUGAAGGUGACCUUCUAUAAGGAGCCGGUGUUCAUCCAUCAGGGCCACAUGCAGUGGCUGUGGGACGUGGACGGGAGGCGAUAUUUGGAUCUCUUUGCCGGUGUGGCCACCAUCAGCGUGGGCCACUGCCACCCAAAAGUGACUGCGGCCGCAGAGCGACAGCUGAGGACGCUGGUACACACCACCAACAUUUACGUUUAUCCUCCUAUCCACGAGUACUGUGAAAAACUAGCAUCCAACUUGCCUGAUCCUCUCAAGGUAGUCUACCUGACCAAUAGCGGCUCGGAGGCCAAUGACCUCGCCAUGUGUAUGGCCCGACUAUACACUGGCAACUUUGACAUCAUCACUUUCAGGGGGUCAUACCACGGAGGCAGCCCCCAGACCAUGGGUCUGACUUCACUAGUAGAUUACAAGUACCCUGUCGGCAUUGGCUUAGGCUGCACAAACACCAUGUGUCCUGAUGUGUUCAGAGGUAUCUGGGGGGGGAGCCACUGCAGGGACUCUCCUGUGCAGACUACCAGAGAAUGUAACUGUGCCCAAGGCUACUGCGUGGCAAAUCAACACUAUAUUGAACAACUCAAACAGACGUUUCUCACCAGCGUCUGGAGUCGAAUUGCCGCUUUCUUCGCUGAGCCUAUUCAGGGAGUUGGUGGAGCGGUGCAGUACCCCAAAAACUUCCUCAAGGAGGCGUACAAACUUGUGAGAGAGAGAGGCGGCCUCUGUAUUGCUGAUGAGGUUCAGACAGGAUUCGGCCGAACGGGGAGCCACUUCUGGGGAUUCCAAGGUCACGACGUCCUUCCUGACAUAGUAACCAUGGCCAAAGGCAUUGGGAACGGCUUCCCGAUGGGAGCGGUGGUCACAACACGGGAGAUCGCAGAUGCUUUCGCAGGGGGCUUUCACUUCAACACCUUUGGAGGAAACCCACUGGCUUGUUCCAUCGCCUCAUCCGUCAUUGACACUAUCAAAGAAGAAGGCACACAGCAGAACAGUCUGGAGGUGGGCACCUUUUUGAUGACGGAACUCGCCAAGCUCAGAAACAAGUAUGAGGUCAUCGGCGAUGUCCGUGGAAAAGGCCUGCAAAUCGGCGUGGAAAUGGUCCAAGACAAGGCCAGCAGAGCACCGCUGUGUCCUCAAGACAUGCUCGCCAUCUUUGAGGACAUCAAGGACAUGGGCAUCCUCAUCGGGAAGGGAGGAAUGUAUGGACAGACCUUCCGCAUCAAACCGCCCAUGUGCAUCACGAUGGAGGACGCACAUUUCUUCCUGUCCGUAUUUAACAAGUCCAUCCAGAACUACAUGGAGAAAAGAUGAGCCCAGCCAAGGACAAAGUGCCAUCGACGUUGUCGCUUUUCUUACUUUCUUAGUCACUAUUGAAGGCUCAUUCUGGAAAUCCACUGCACUUACGCUGCCUUCAAUGACAGUCAAACACACAAGGACUCUUCAAUGGCCGGUGAAACCAUUUGGCGAAGUGAGGGACUUUUGUUACCUGGAAACAGGCACUCAAAGUACAUGACGCAAGACACAAGAAAAGCAGGCUAUACACACAACAGCUAAAUGAAAAACGGCUAUAACCUUCAUAAUUGUAAUUGCCUCGCAGCUGAGAGGUUCUGCUUUUGAAUCUAAGCUCAUAUUUCCCCCGUGCUUGUGUGAGUUUUCUAUCUCAUCCCCAAAACUUUAGGACUAAAUCUCAAACUUUUUACAGAGCAUGUGUUUUUUUCCAUGGAAAAAAAACAAACCCCCUCUCGCCGUACCGCCCCCCCAUAACUAACAUUUGCACUCAUUAUCAUAAUUUUCAUUAUGUAAUUACAAAAUGUAUGUCAUUGUAAUCCCUCACAUUACUGGGAGAAAUAUGUAAUUAAAUUACAGUUGCUUUCGGAAAUGUCCAUGAUUACAAUUUUAGUUACAUUUGGAAAAAAAAAAAAAAAAAAUGUCAUAUUCUUCUAAAGCCAACACUUGUGAUUGGCUCUCUCUGAUCAUGUGCCAUGGUGCCAUAGUCUCAAACAUGACAUAUUUUUCCGAAUAUGACCUCGAAGCACCUUGUGGUGCAAUCUAUUAGUUUGUAUGAGAUUUUGCAAAGGUUAGACCAGUGGUUCUCAACUGCUGUCACCCAGGGACCCGCAUUUUCCUAUUGUUGCACCUUUAUAGAAGUUAUCAAAAUAAAGCAUAUUGGUUGAAAAAGAGCCUCUGAAAACAUGCACAGUAAGUUGUUUUGGCAAAUCUUUUGCUGACAGAAUAGGUAAGGAAGCAAUCUUGUCUUUGUGGGUUUUUAUUACAAAAAAAGAAAGAAAUGUCUUUGCAAAGUCUUACGAGUUGUCACCCCUUACUGAAGCCCAGACAGAAAACCCCUUCAUUAUAUCGAAGUGAGAGAGACAGAGAAGGUAAGCAAAACGAUUGCCUUUGUCCAGCUGCACUCAACUUUAUCAAAAAACAGCUAGUAGUCACAACAUGGCUUGGAACAUUUAAUACGCACACAGAGCUAGUAGUCUCAAAGUAACAAUAAAGCAUGUGAAGGUUGUAUAAAAAUAAUCGAAGUAAUAUUUGGUACAUAUGAAACGUACAUUUUCCAACUCAGCUUCCCCCCUUUUGAUUAUAUUAAUCACACAUAAAAGGAAAAUUAUUACAUACUGCAUAUUGUUAAACAUUAAUGAUCAAAACUCAAAACAUUAAAAAUUGAAAUGAAAUAAUUUGCAUCAACUGCAGUCAUCCAGAAUUUCACACCUCAGGUUUAAGAAAAUCCUUCAUAAGCGGGUUGCAAGUCAGUCAUGCAACAAAGUUCGACUGAGGAAUAUGAAUCACGGUCAUCAUUUGAGUUGCCAAUGUCAUCCAAGCAAUCGGAUUGAGGGACGAGGUCAGGAAAAUGUUCGUCAGAGACCGAAUAGUGAAAUCGUGUAUCGUCAAUCGUGCGAGAGACUGGGCAUUUGAUCAAAGGGACCAAACAACAGGACAUGACAAAUAGAACAAGCAAAGCGAUACAAACCAAAGGGGAGAACCAUUCCAAAUUUGGGUCACAUUGAUGUAGGGGGGGGGGGGAGAACCUGUUUCAGCAAAGACGGUUUGAUUAAGGUAUUGUGGACUGACAAAAGAAACUAAGGUGCGAGGAAAGAGCGAUGAUGCAUUAGGAUGUGGGAAGGCACAACGUGUGUGGGUUUGCAGCAGGAUGUGGCAUGAAAGAAAACAAACAUAGCAGUUAGAACGAUUUUGAGAGCGUGCCUCAUGAAAAAAAAAAAAAAAAAAAAAGUGGGGGCAUACAGAAACCAAACAUUCAGGAUGUACGAGGUGCGCUUAGCAGAAGUACUGGUGAUCGUGAGAAACCAAAAGAAUCUCGUCAUCGUUGUCACGUGUCGUAAGGUACAAAAUUGUGUCAACUGUCAAAGCGGGAGCAUCAAUACACAGUUUAAUCACGAUAACCACGGCCAUUAAUGCCAAACCACCGAGGAGACUCCCGGAAGAGGUCAUCGUCGUCUUCUUCUCUUCUGCCGAGUUACACGAGUGUGCCCCGUGCGUGUGCGCGUGAGUUCAGACAGAUGAUUGGGCGUUGCUCGGCUUUUAUGACCUGUCUUCUGCUCCUCUACGACCUAUCAACGCACAAUCAGUUUCUAGCGCUGAUUGUAGCUAAAAGUGUGUCAAAUACCUUUAAAAGGUUUUGUCGUCAUUUUAAUUGCUGUAAAGCACUUGGUGUUCCAUUUUGAAUUUACGAAAGGUGCUAUAUAAAUACAUUUGACAGAAACAAAGAAAUGCAAACAAAUCGUGGUUCUGAACUCAGUGUUGUGAAUUGCGCAUUUUCACAAAACCGAUAUUCUCACCCCUCACAGUAAGUAGUUAACAUUUUGCUUUUCACAUUUGUGUUAAUUUAUUUAUAUCAGUGGAAUUUUGAUCUAUCUAGUACCCCAAAAAAUACUAAAUUAAAUAACUAGCCUAAGCGAAGCAGUGCUAUCAGUGCCAAGCGCGUCUUCAUUGCGGAGGAGGGAGGCGGCUGCUCUUGUUGUGACACUGUGGGUCGUAUGGAGGCGGUUGUGUUGUUGGUCUUGUUCCAGAUUGCAUUCUUCUUGAUCUUUGU